GAUCAAAUCAAGCGCGAGAAGGGCGUUUGGUGGAUGCCUUGGCAGUAAGAGGCGAUGAAGGACGUGAUACUCUGCGAUAAGCCAUGGGGAGCU
rnacentral:rRNA from 1 species